rnacentral:rRNA from 1 species
UACGUAGGGUGCGAGCGUUGUCCGGAAUUAUUGGGCGUAAAGGGCGCGUAGGCGGCCAUUCAAGUGACGGGUGAAAGCCCUCGGCUUAACCGAGGAACUGCCUGUCAGACUGGAUGGCUUGAGACCGGGAGAGGUGAGUGGAAUUCCCAGUGUAGCGGUGAAAUGCGUAGAUAUUGGGAGGAACACCAGUGGCGAAGGCGGCUCACUGGACCGGAACUGACGCUGAAGCGCGAAAGCGUGGGGAGCAAACAGG